CAACCAACCAAGUUGUGUGUAAUUGACUCCAAAGGAAGUUGGCUUGGUUUGGAGUUGGACUACAGCUAUCAUGACAGCGAAGACUCUGUGAAGAAAAAUCCAAUCUAAGAGAGAGAAGUGACGGCCAAAACUAGAGAGAAAGAGAGAGAAAGCUUGAAGCCGGCAUUAAUGGCGGAGGAGAGUAGAGAAGAGAGAAAAGGAAGUAGUAAGGAGGAGGAAGACAGCGUCAAACUCUUUGUUGGACAAGUGCCGAAGCAUAUGACGGAAGAUCAACUUCUGGCAAUGUUCCAAGAGUUUGCACUUGUGGACGAGGUCAACAUCAUCAAAGACAAGACCACUCGCGCCUCUAGAGGUUGCUGUUUUGUGAUAUGUCCUUCGAGGCAAGAGGCGGAUAAGGCGGUCAAUGCUUGCCAUAGCAAGAAAACUUUACCUGGGGCUUCUAGUCCGUUACAAGUAAAGUAUGCAGAUGGAGAGCUGGAAAGACUAGAACAUAAACUCUUUAUUGGGAUGCUUCCAAAAAAUGUAUCAGAGGAUGAAGUUUCUGGUCUUUUCGCUCAAUAUGGAACUAUAAAAGACUUACAAAUCUUAAGAGGUUCACAGCAGACAAGUAAAGGUUGUGCAUUUUUGAAGUAUGAGACGAAGGAUCAAGCUGUUGCAGCACUCGAGGCAAUUAAUGGAAAGUAUAAAAUGGAGGGAUCCAGUGUCCCUUUGGUUGUUAAAUGGGCUGACACAGAGAAGGAAAGGCAGGCUCGAAAGGCUCAGAAAGCUCAAUCGCUGGCCUCUCUUAAUGCAGACCCCCAACAUCCUUCACUAUUUGGAGGCAUGCCGCUGGGUUAUAUUCCGCCAUAUAAUGGCUAUGGUUAUCAGGCUCCGGGAAGUUAUGGGCUUGUGCAAUAUCACCUACCUCCGGUGCAGAAUCAAUCUGGUUUCCCAAAUAUAAUACCCCAAGGUAAUGCAAUGCGUGGGAUCCCACCUGAUCUGAGCCCAGGUAUGGUCAAUAGGAAUUAUGGCAUGCCUCCAGCAAAUUACGUUGGCUCCGCCUAUCCUGCAGUUCCAGGUCUUCAGCAUCCCAUGGCAUACCCUGGAGGAAUGAUGAGUCCUGGGGCUGUUAGCAGUUCACCUGGUUCAGGGCCACUUACUGGUGGGAAGAAUAACUCUCCAAUAGCUAGUUUCAGUAAAGGCUCGGGGAGUCAAAUUGAAGGCCCCCCUGGUGCCAAUCUUUUUAUUUAUCACAUACCUCAAGAAUAUGGUGAUCUGGAGCUUGCUAAUUCUUUUCGAGCUUUUGGCCAAGUUUUGAGUGCUAAAGUAUUUGUUGACAAAACAUCUGGCGCUAGCAAAUGUUUUGGGUUUGUGAGUUACGAUUCCGCUGAGGCUGCUCAAUCUGCUAUUAGUAUGAUGAAUGGAUUCCAAUUAGGUGGAAAGAAAUUAAAAGUUCAGCUGAAGAGAGACAACAAACAGAGUAAACAAUAUUUUGAUUCUUCGUAAAGACAGCGAAGUUGUCUACCACGUGCUUACAUGGGGGGGCCUAAAUGCAUGACAUUUAUUCCAUUAUUAACUCAUCUUAGGGUGGAUUUGGGACGGUCUAUGGUUAAAAUUCAUUACUCCAUUCUGCCUGUGAUUGCAUCAUCAGAUGAAAUCAAAGAUACUCGUAAUUCAUGAUAUGAAGUUAACACCACCAACGAGACGCAUAUAGCAAGGACCAGUGCAUACUUGAAGGAGUCGAGUCGAGAAGAAAAUCUCCAAUCCAAGCUUCCUCUACUUAGCGUAUGCAAAGAUCAAACACAGCUCAUUUUAGCCAAACGCGCAUUAAAGGUCAUGAAGUUCAUCUCUUUCCUUACUACUUUUCUUUUAUCUUUCAAUUACGAGUAGCUAAGUCUUUAAAGGUUUACUUCGUGACGCUCUUUAUUUGAAAAACGUGCAUGAAGGAUUUCUCGACCUCUUAGUUAUUUUCUUCUUGCAUUGCUCCGUUUCAUUUGGUCAACCAAAGUGAAGUAUCAGCAUACAUAUAGCAUUGAAAGGAUUAGAGCAGGCGAGUUAUAGUAAUGUCUACUUGAGUGUUUUAGACGUAAAACAUCCACUUCUAAGUCAGAAAUAGGUCGGUACAUGACUCGGUUUCAUUGCAUGCAUACAUGCAAUGACGUCGUAAGCUUAACACCGAUUGGUUCAUACAUGUGACCUUGGUGCCUUUAUUUUGUAAACUCAAAACCCUUUGAUCACAAAACAUGUUUCCCAUUUCAUACAGAUGCCAGAGGAAGAUCCCCAUUUCAUUCAGGUUUCUUUUGAUUUUUCUUUAAUUUCUUGAGUCAAUGAAUCUCUUAGUCUUUGUUGAUCAA